rnacentral:rRNA from 1 species
AAUGCCUAAGGUUUCCUGAGGAAGGCUCGUCCGCUCAGGGUUAGUCGGGACCUAAGCCGAGGCCGAAAGGCGUAGGCGAUGGACAACAGGUUGAUAUUCCUGUACCACCUCCUCACCAUUUGAGCAAUGGGGGGACGCAGGAGGAUAGGGUAAGCGCGGUAUUGGAUAUCCGCGUCCAAGCAGUUAGGCUGGGAAAUAGGCAAAUCCGUUUCCCAUAAGGCUGAGCUGUGAUGGCGAGCGAAAUAUAGUAGCGAAGUUCCUGAUUCCACACUGCCAAGAAAAGCCUCUAGCGAGGUGAGAGGUGCCCGUACCGCAAACCGACACAGGUAGGCGAGGAGAGAAUCCUAAGGUGAUCGAGAGAACUCUCGUUAAGGAACUCGGCAAAAUGACCCCGUAACUUCGGGAGAAGGGGUGCUCUGUUAGGGUGCAAGCCCGAGAGAGCCGCAGUGAAUAGGCCCAGGCGACUGUUUAGCAAAAACACAGGUCUCUGCGAAGCCGUAAGGCGAAGUAUAGGGGCUGACGCCUGCCCGGUGCUGGAAGGUUAAGAGGAGCGCUUAGCGUAAGCGAAGGUGCGAAUUGAAGCCCCAGUAAACGGCGGCCGUAACUAUAACGGUCCUAAG